GGUAGGCUCAGCGGUAGAGUGCUUGCCUUGCAAGCAUGAGGUCCUGGGUUCGAUUCCUCAGCACCA
rnacentral:tRNA from 1 species